GCUGAAAUAGCUCAGUUGGGAGAGCAUUAGACUGAAUAUCUAAAAGUCCCUGGUUCAAUCCCAGGUUUCAGCA
rfam:Alligator mississippiensis ScZkoYb_15, whole genome shotgun sequence.